UACGUAGGGUGCAAGCGUUGUCCGGAAUUAUUGGGCGUAAAGGGCUCGUAGGCGGUCCAUCGCGUCGGGAGUGAAAAGCUGGGGCUCAACCCCAGUCCUGCUUUCGAUACGGGUGGACUAGAGGUAUGCAGGGGAGAACGGAAUUCCUGGUGUAGCGGUGAAAUGCGCAGAUAUCAGGAGGAACACCGGUGGCGAAGGCAGCUCGCUGGAACGUAACUGACGCUGAGACGCGAAAGCCAGGGGAGCAAACGGG
rnacentral:rRNA from 1 species